AACGAACGCUGGCGGCAUGCCUAACACAUGCAAGUCGAACGAGACCUUCGGGUCUAGUGGCGCACGGGUGCGUAACGCGUGGGAACCUGCCCUUAGGUUCGGAAUAACUCCCCGAAAGGGGUGCUAAUACCGGAUAAUGUCUUCGGACCAAAGAUUUAUCGCCUUUGGAUGGGCCCGCGUUGGAUUAGCUAGUUGGUAGGGUAAAAGCCUGCCAAGGCGACGAUCCAUAGCUGGUCUGAGAGGAUGAUCAGCCACACUGGGACUGAGACACGGCCCAGACUCCUACGGGAGGCAGCGGUAGGGAAUAUUGGACAAUGGGCGAAAGCCAGAUCCAGCAAUGCCGCGUGAGUGAUGAAGGCCUUAGGGUUGUAAAGCUCUUUUACCCGGGAUGAGAAUGACAGUACCGGGAGAAUAAGCUCCGGCUAACUCCGUG
rnacentral:rRNA from 1 species